UCCCAUAUGGUGUAGUGGUUAGCAUACCAGGCUUUCAACCCUGCUCUUGAUAUUCAAGAGACGCUUUGAAGACCACCCUGGAGUCCCGGGUUCAAUUCCCGGUGUGGGAA